rnacentral:rRNA from 1 species
AACGAACGCUGGCGGCAGGCCUAACACAUGCAAGUCGAACGCUGUAGCAAUACAGAGUGGCAGACGGGUGAGUAACGCGUGGGAACAUACCCUUCGGUUCGGAAUAACUCAGGGAAACUUGAGCUAAUACCGGAUACGUGCGAGAGCAGAAAGAUUCAUCGCCGAAGGAUUGGCCCGCGUUCGAUUAGCUUGUUGGUGAGGUAAUGGCUCACCAAGGCGACGANCGAUAGCUGGUCUGAGAGGAUGAUCAGCCACAUUGGGACUGAGACACGGCCCAAACUCCUACGGGAGGCAGCAGUGGGGAAUAUUGGACAAUGGGCGAAAGCCUGAUCCAGCCAUGCCGCGUGAGUGAUGAAGGCCCUAGGGUUGUAAAGCUCUUUCAGCUCCGACGAAGCGAGAGUGACGGUAGGAGCAGAAGAAGCACCGGCCAACUACGUGCCAGCAGCCGCCGUAAG